GUUGACUUUAUGCAUUUAUUCAACCAUUACUAUCAGGAGGAAGUUGUGCCCAGUCCUUGGGCCCAUAAAGUUCAGUUUGUCAAUGAGGUUGGCUCUUCAAGGACACACAACAGACAAGAUCUCAGGGAGACUGAUUGAACUGCCCAGGGGUUGGUAUCUGCCCCCACCCCUGCCCCGUUCGGGUUCUGUUCUAUGCUGUGGCCCUGCUCUUAAUCACUAAGAAAGGGAGACUGGAGCCAUCAAAGAGAGACUUCCCAAAGCCCCUGCUCACUCACGCACUCUGGAAGCCUGCCUGAGAUGCUUGCUGCUGUUCUCACAUGUCUCUGCCAGGUGACUACAGGCACUGACUGUUCAUGUGUCUGUGUCUCCCCCACGUGACUUCAGUUUCUGCUCUGUCAUCCAUGCGUCUGGGCACAGGUGCUGACUCCAAGAUCCUCCUGCGGUUUCAGUGUGUUCCUCCCAGGCACUCCCCAUCCACAGCCAUUCUUGCCUCAAGAUCCAUAACCGGUAGCCCUGGAGUCUCCACUUCUCGCAUCCUUAAAUUCAGGAUCCUCUUCAUUGAAAGACUCCCAAGGGUCGGGUGUGGUAGUAUAGGCCUAUAAUCCCAGCACUCAGGGCAGACACAGGUGGAUCUCUGUGGUCUAUGUAUGGAGCUCUAGGCUAGGCAGGACUACAUAGUGAAAGCCUCAGGACUCCUCCUGGUGGCUGCAGUGGCCUUCCUCAGCGUCCUGGUUUUGAUGUCUGUCAGGUGGGAGUGUGAUUUUAGGCCAGGGGACUUGUGAAGACAUCAGCGCCACUUCCUAGACCUGUGGGAUCACAUCUUGGGACACUCGGUCUGAUAGCCGUUAGAACUCUAAGAGAAAUGAAUCCCAGACUAGGUAUCAAAGUAUGAACUGUCCCUCUAACCUCCAUCAGAUCAGCCAACGUUAUGGUCCUGUAUUCACCAUCUAUCUGGGAUCUCGCCGAAUUGUGGUGCUGUGCGGACAGGAGACAGUCAAGGAAGCUCUGGUGGACCAAGCUGAGGAAUUCAGCGGGCGGGGCGAGCAGGCUACCUUCGACUGGCUUUUCAAAGGCUAUGGUGAGAGGGUCUUCCCAGGCAUAGCCUUCAGCAGCGGGGAGCGAGCCAAACAGCUAAGGCGCUUCUCCAUCACCACGCUGCGGGACUUCGGCGUGGGGAAGCGUGGCAUCGAGGAGCGCAUCCAAGAGGAGGCGGGCUUUCUCAUCGAUUCAUUUCGGAAGACGAACGGUAAGCAGAGCACCGCAAGUUCUCAGGACCUUAGCCGAACAGUCUCCAAUGUCAUUAGCUCAAUCGUCUUCGGGGACCGCUUUGACUA
rnacentral:antisense_RNA from 1 species